GUUCUUUAUGUUGCUCCUGGUUUGUAAAGCCUCAGUGUCGUUGGGGUCUGGCUCCCACCCGGAGGUCUCCUCAUCACCUGCCCAUCUCGACGGGUCAAUCCUCCAGAAGGAAGAUGAGCACAGCACACCCAAAACCCAACUCUUCCAAGGGCCCUUGGUCCUGCGGCGCAUCUAGGGCUGGCCUCUUCCUCAGGACCCCUUGAGGGACUACGCUGGUGUCCCUCAACUGAUGUGCAUUGGAUCUACUGAGGAUUCUUGUUAAAAGACAGAUUGUCAUCCUUGUGUUGGACUGAGCCUGUGAUUCUGUGUUUCUGGUAGGCACUCACUGAGGGGAUGCCAGUUCUUAUGGGACAUGAUUGCUAUUUCCAGGAGCAAGUCUCAGUACUGUUCUUGAGAGUAAGAAUUGCAGAUGUAGAGUCUGCAUUUGAAGGCCUCUUUUCAAUAUAGUCUUUGUUUUUCUUCCUAUCUCCUUUCAUAAGAUAAUUAAAACACUCAAAGGCAAUAGAGAUGGAAACAGAGACAUAGUUUCUAAAUUAAAUUUAUUUUGAACGACUCAAUUAGUUGACUCUUGGUUAUCAGGGGUAGAUUAAAUUGUAUGCACUUAGCCUUGGGAUGAAAUCCCAGUGGGCUUGAUAUCAUGAAUAAUUGAAAUCGCAGUCAUGUAAGGAAACACUAAUAUAUUUAUCGUUCCAUGCCUUUCUGUUGAGAAUCCUUUGGUACCAAAUCUAGCAUGGGAAUGUUCCUUGAUCUCAGCUGUCUGCGUAAUUGUUGGGAGCGGCGCCUGCUUUCUCUUCCAGUCUCUGAGGAACAGUGGUCUGCCUAAGAGAACUGCAACAUCUAUACAGAGGCUGUGCUGUGACUGCUGGAGAUUUCGAACACAUUGGCUGCCAACACUCAGCAAAGAAGUUCCUAGAGAGACAAGACAAAGACGGUCUGUGUUUCAAAAGAAGCCCUCAGCUGAAGAUGAAAGAACCGAAUGUGCCCCACGCAAGGGAACUGGAGACGAUGAGAAAUCUUGACAAGUAAGUUGGUUGCUCAAACUUGGUGUUGACGGGAUGAAGGUUCCAUGCGGAUGAUUUGCUAACCACAGAAAACAAGUGAAACCUAAUGGCAGUGUAGGGCCUUUAUUAAAGUAUGACUUAAUGGAAACACUGGAUCCGAAAAAGGUGUCAGCCACUGAUUGACCUCCAACAGACGGUUACACUGUGGGUUGAAGUGUCAAUGAGAUUAACAAUCUGCACUUUUAACAGAAUGAAGGAUUGGUCCUCUGACAAGGAAAGUUGACAAACUUCUCUGUAUACCGGCCAUGAACGUGAUUUGAUCGAAACACUUUGUACCAAGAAGAUGAUGUUUUCUAUCCAAACAAUAAAGUGACUACGCUCUGUUAGCA
rnacentral:lncRNA from 13 species